AUUGAACGCUGGCGGCAGGCCUAACACAUGCAAGUCGAACGGAGUGGCGGACGGGUGAGUAAUGUCUGGGAAACUGCCCGAUGGAGGGGGAUAACUAAUGGAACAGGUAGCUAAUACCGCAUACUAUCCGAUGAGCCCAGGUUGGCUUAGCUAGUGGGUGGGGUAAGGGCUUACAAAGGAGAAGAUCCGUAACUGGUCUGAGCGGAUGAUCAGUCACACUGGAACUGAGACACGGUCCCGACUCCGACGGGAGGCAGCAGUGGGGAAUAUUGGACAAUGGGCGAAAGCCUGAUCCAGCCAUGCCGCGUGUGUGAAGAAGGUCUUCGGAUUGUAAAGCACUUUAAGUUGGGAGGCGUUACCAACAGAAUAAGCACCGGCUAACUUCGUGCCAGCCGCCGCGGUAAUUC
rnacentral:rRNA from 1 species